CAAAAGCCUGCGGGGCGCGGAGGCCCCAAGAGGCAGAAAGAAGUUUAAGAGCAGCGCAGGAGAGCGGCAGAUAGGAAUCCUGCAAGCGAUAGAGACAGCCUUUGGAAAGUUCUGGGAACCAGAGGCUUGCAAAAAAAAAAGUUUUGGUGACAUGAGAACUCAGCAAGUCAGAGUCUGAGAACUGAGACCAGGCGCCUGAGAAAGAAACAUCGAUGUCUGGAAGGAAGCAGGGCCUCAGGAAGGAUACAGUGAGUCUGGGACUUGCAAAGUGCAUUGUGUCUUAGAACUGCUGACAAAUCACUAGAAAUGUUGGCCCUGACUGCCGAUUCACAGCUUCUGACUGCAUGAUUAUUGAUAGGAAUUCCAGUAUGAUGGACCAGCCACAGCUGUAUUUCACAGGAGAUGAACUGGACAAGGACAUGUGAGUGGAGGUAAAGGACCUGUAUUGGCGUCUGGUUUAGAGACAUGACUAGAAUACUGUCCCAAAUCUUCUUGUUCCUUCUCACAUCUACAAUUUGCUUUGCCCAUCUGUAUGAGGAACCAUAUAGAGUGCAUCUUCACUGUUAAAUGGGCUGAGGUCUUGAACUAUGAAUUCACUCCCUGGCUUCCUUUUGAAAUACACUAACAGCUCUCUGUGGGACAAAACCCAGCUAUGGUUUGGGGGAUCGCACAUUCUGAAGGCUCCUCAUGACAGGAAAAAUAAAUGAGGUUUCAGUAAAUUUGGUUCUUUGGCACUUGUGGCAAGCUUUUUGCUCUAGAAUAACCCCAACGCCUUCACAUCAUGUCCCAGAAUGUGCAAUGACUUCCUUAUUAUGUGACAUAUAACUGCUCUGCUAGUGGACUUCAGUGGUGAUCUCACAUUUUGUACACAUUGAACUAGGAAAAACAAACAAACAAACAAAAACACAAUAACCCAUAAAAAUUUGCACAUUAAAAAAUGGAGGCACCUGACAUGCAGGGUGGAUGAAGCUACUCUCUGCUCUCUGCUCUAAACAGGGGCAGCCAAGUAAUGGAUAUGAAAGCACUCUGCAGCGACUGACACAGAAGUGAAUGAUCAUUCCCUAGGACAGAUGCAUUGAGCCAUAUAGAUAUAACACAGUCAGAUAAAGAUAUGUAGACCAACUCAUGUCUCCAGUAACAGCUGGUAGUGGAGGCUGGAUGUAACAGGUAUGCAUUUGAAUUAAAUUUAGAAUGAUACCUGUAUACCUUUCCUAUCCUAGCUUGAUUGUGCUUUCUACCUUCAAUUUUAAAAAAUCUCAUUAGUUCUGGACCUGAUCCUGGAUGUUGGUAGACACAGAUCUAUUUCUAUUUGCCAGGAAAUAUUUUUCAGAUAAAUUUUCCUGAUCUUUCUGAAACCGUGCUCUUGCAAAAUUUUUUGUAAGAGUUUCAGCAGACUUUAUGUCUCCUAUACAAAAUUGUUUCUUAUAAUGUUCACACUUUUGCUACUGAAAUGCUAAUUUCACCUAAACAAACAAACAAGCUUGGAAUUAAUUAAUGUGAGCAGUACUUGUAUACAAAUUCACUUUACAGACUGCUUAAUUUGGUCACUAAAACUUAGGCAGGGGAAUUGUAGUUUCUUUAGUUUGUCUUGCCAUUGCCAAAGCAGUGUUCAUGGAAUUUUUCAAACUUUAUUUAGAUAUUAAAAUGAGCACAGACUGUGUGCAGUUGUAAAAUGUCAUUGUAAGCUGGGGCAUAGUGUUGCCUCCACCUUUUAAAAAGCAAGUUCAGCUGAUUCAGACUGAAUGUCCAUGGUCAUAAAAAGGAGUCUACCAGUGCAGUAUGUUUUCCCAUGACUCUCUCUAAGGAUACAAAAAGUAUGGAUCAAAGUCAUAAGGUUGUUUCCUACUGCUAGGCUCCAAAUCAACAAGCAAGAAUGUCAACAAGCUGAGUGCCAGCUUUGCAUGAAAUAACAGUCAUGGGAGAGAUCCUAAUGAUAUGGAUAGGAUAAUUUUUAUUGAGGGUGCAGGGAUAUCAAUGUCUCUUUUGUAUUGAAGCAGGAAAUUCAAGUGUAAUGUUCUUUAGCCAUGUAACAAAUAUAUAAAAAGAUUACUGUUAUUGUAGAAUAAAUCAAAAUAAAUAAUACAUUCCUGCAAGGACCUUACACUUCUUAAACUAGGAUUUAUUCUACUUGAGUUUGUUUUUCACCAUGUUCAUAUGUAUCUGCAAUGAUCUUUGUAAAGGAUCUGUUAGGACACAUGAUAUGUACUUCCUUCUAAAUAUAAAUGAAAAAGUUCAAAAGUAAUUAUUUCUUUGUGCCUAUUAUUACCUGUGUGUAUGGAUUCAGAUUUUCCCCUGUUGCUUGUUAAAUAUUGUCAAAUCUACCUAAACUUAUUUUAUUUUACCAUUGUAGUAUUUCCAUUAGCCUGGUAAACAUUUUGCAGUUGUUUAUA